GUCUCUUUGUAGCUCAAAGAUAAAGAGUCACGCCUGCCCAGUGACAAAUGUUAAACGGCCGCGGUACCCUGACCGUGCGAAGGUAGCAUAAUCAUUUGCCCUCUAAUUAAGGGCUUGUAUGAACGGUCCGACGAGAACUAAACUGUCUCUUUUAAAAUAUUUACAAAUUAACUUCUAGGUGAAGAGGCCUAGAUUUAACUAAGGGACAAGAAGACCCUGUUGAGCUUUAGUAACAUUAUAGACAUACUCAAUCAUUUAAUCGACCCAGGCACCUAUAACCAAAUCUUUAGCUGGGACGACUAAGGAAAAAACUAAUCUUCCUUUUACCUCACAAGGCACCCCUGUCAUCAAGAUCCAGCAAUUUUGCUGAUCAAAGGACAAAGCUACCACAGGGAUAACAGCGUAAUUUUUCUAAAGAGUUCUUAUCGAAAGAAACGUUUGCGACCUCGAUGUUGGACUAAGAUAUCCUGCAAGUGCAGCAACUUUCAAUGUGUUGGUCUGUUCGACCAUUAAAAUCUU
rnacentral:rRNA from 1 species